rnacentral:lncRNA from 1 species
CCUUUAAGCCAUUUUUUUUAUUCUUUAUAAAUUUUGUCCAUUAUUCUCUACUCUUCAUAUAUUUAAGCACCCUUUUAUUCUCUAUUUUCUAUCUCUAAGUACUCCUUAUUCUCUUUUCUAUAUAUGUAAGACCUCUUUAUUCCCUAUUUCUUAAUAUAUUUUAAGCAUCGAGUUAUUUUCUAUUCUUUUUAUAUCUAUUUUUUUUCUACCAAUUAGUAUUUGUUCUGCUAUCUCCAACCAGACUGUCGUCUAUCUAUGACGACCAUUAUUGUAACCUCCAGAUACUUUGUUUACUUUUAAGGUCAGUGGCGUAUCCAAAACUUUUCAUAAAGGGGAGGGGGGGGGGCACCGACUGACCUAAGGGGGGCCCGUUCCAGGUCAUGCUUCAGUGAUUCCCUAUAUAAUCAACCAAAUUUUUCCCACAAAAGGGGGAAAUCCCGGGCCCGCCCCAUGAUCCGACUAUGGAGGCUUUGUUUUGCAUCGUAUAUAUGAACGUAUCUAGGUCAAAGCCAAAUAUACCAUAUCUUAUUGUACUCGGACAAAAUUGACCUUUAUAUAUAGAUCUGGCAAUUAUUUUUUGGUCCAUUUUCGUCUUAUAGAUCUUAACGUGUUUCUGAAUUUGUACAUACGUGGCUAUGGUUUUUGUUUGCUUUGAUCGUGUUUCUGAUGAAGGUUGCUUCGGACGUGAAACAUUUACAAAGUGUUAUUUACUUUGUAUAAGCCAUCACAAAUAUAAUUUUGUGAAGGGGUAAGCAAUAGAAUAAAACUAAAUGAAUGGAGAGUUGUCUCAUUGGCACUCAUGCCACAUCUUCUUAUAUCUAUUAAAUAUGUUUUUAUUAGAAUACGUUUACUGUUCAAUACCUAUUAUAUGAUAAUCCACCUAGCGGUAUUAAUAAUCCACGUAGCGGUAUUAAUUAGUGUUUGAUUUUUUACAACAAAUAAACCAGAAAACGAUUUUAAAUAGAAUCGAACUGUC